rnacentral:lncRNA from 1 species
CGGCGCCGCCCCCAGCCAAGAUCCCAGCGCCGCGGGGAAAGCGGCCAGGCCGGGUGCGCCAGGCCCCCGACGGCUCCGACCCGGCUCGGCGGCCGCCUCGGCUCGGCCCGGCCCGUGCGCCCCGGUCCCGGUUCACCGGGGCCCCGCGGCGCCGCCCCCCGCUCCGCAGUGGCCCGAGCCCCGCCCCGCCGCCCUCUCCCCCCUCCGCCCGGCCCUCCCUCAAGCGCCAGGGCGGCCGGCCCUCAGGGGAUGGGCGAAGGGGAGGGGUCCCCGCCCCCGGCCCGCCUGGAGGCGGGGACGGCGCGCUCGCCUGCUCUGCGGGUCCCCGAGGCCCAGGCGCCGCCGGGCAUGGGGCGCACGGAGCUGGGGGCCCCGCGGGAAGCGGCCCGGCACACGGUCAGCUCCCAAGCUAUUGGAGACCCCCUCAAGCAAAGCCCUGCCCCCAAUCCAGGAACUCUUUUAUAAAGAAUUUCCCAGUAUAAUCUCCUGAGACUCAGUUAAUCAGGAUCUUUCCCCUCACCCCCAUUUUAGGUGAGUUGGUCCUGAGUCUAAAGAGCAUUGAAUGUUGAGGGGAGGAGGGGAUGUGUUGCUGGACGAGGAGGAGAGGUGGGGGUCUGCAGUGGAGCCGUCGAUGUUUUUGGCAGGAGAGGUGCCCUCCUCCCUAUAUGGCGCUCUCAGAUUCUAGCUAGUCUCGAGAAGGUAAAUCAAUGGGCUAUAGAAACCUUGCCUCCCUGAUGCGCUCAAUGAGGAUCUUCAGUUCGGAUCCAAGUCCAAGAACGUCUGCCUUCCAUCACAGCCCUUUGUGGACACUUACCUCCCGACUGCAGGAGGAGGUCCUUCGAAGCUAGAAUCAACGGGUCGCUCUCAGUAACCCCACCGCGCUAGUGUCGAGAGGGAUCCCAGCGCCAUUGCAGACGUCUAUGCUGGAAUGAGUGAAGCUUGUUUACAAGCACUGGGGCCACAGGACAAUACAUGUGAAGAUGGAGGCAGAGGUUGGAGUGAUGUGUCUACAAGCCAAGGAGUGCUAAGGAGUGCCAGCAGCCACCAGGAGCUAGGAGAGGGGCCUGGAACGGACUCUCCCUCAGAGCCUCCAGAAGAAACCAACCCUGCCGACACCUUGACUUUGGACUUCUGGCUUCCAGAACUGAAGAUUAGCCCUGAGCUAACAUCUGCUGUCAAUCCUCCUCUUUUUGCUGAGGAAGACUGGCCCUGAGCUCACAUCCGUGCCCAUCUUCCUCUAUUUUGUAUGUGGGAUGCCUGUCACAGCAUGGUGUGCCAAGCAGUGCCACGUCUGCACCCAGGAUUCAAACCGGUGAAUCCUGGGCUGUGGAAGCAGAACGUGCGAACUUAACCGCUACGCCACCAGGCCAGCCCCUGAGCCUUAGUCCUCGCACUGCUGUCUGGGUGUGGAAUGUCUGGUGAAGCUGCACAGGACGAUCAGCAACUUUGAUUUGAGAAGACAGAACUCCUCCUGUUCCUAUGGGACCACUACGAGAACCUGGUCUUGCUGUUCCAGGUGGCAUUCCAGUUGCCACUCGAAUAUUUCCUGAUGGGGGUCGUACUCCAGAAGGAGGCCUUCCUGUCAACCCAAUUCCACCUCGUGACACAGGGCGAGCUGCUGAAGGUUUGUGAUUACUGGCCAUUGUUUACUUUACCCACUCUUCUUCGGCCGGCGGUGUAGGUUGCAGGAGGGAAGCGAGCCAAAGCUUGGUGUCGGGCCUCGGCAGUCGGGACGCACACGGUCUGCCCGAAUGUUGUCUUUUUAAAAAACAAUAAUAUGGUGUCCUUGUUUCAGAUUAGCCCUGAGCUAACAUCUGCUGCCAAUCCUCCUCUUUUUGCUGAGGAAGACUAGCCGUGAGCUAACAUCCGUGCCCAUCUUCCUCUACUUUAUAUGUGGGACGCCUACUACAGCAUGGCGUGCCAAGCAGUGCCAUGUCUGCACCCUGGAUCCGAACCGGCGAAACUCCGGGCUGCUGAAGGGGAACAUGCGCACUUAACCGGUGUGCCACUGGGCCGGCCCCUAAAUUGCUUGUCUUGAGUACCGGGGAGACUGUGUAGCCUAUCUGGGGACUCCGGUUUAUUUUAUUUCUAAUGUUAACCUCAGGUGGCUAUGUGCUCCCCGACUUGUAUGUGAUAAACGGAUUGGUCAGGGCUGUCCUUUGGUGGUGGAGCAGACUGAAGGGUACAGGGGCAUGAUUCUUCUAACCCUUGGCUUCCCCUGGAGGCAAUACUUCCCAGGAAUGGAGAGGUUUGGGAGCAUAGGCCUAAGGCACACAGUCUACACAGUGUGUGUACUCUGUGCCAAAAAUCUUCCUAAGGAGAUCAAGAGACUUGCGUCUUUUUACACUAGGCUCUCUCUGCCUUGGCUGAGUGUGGAUUAUCCACUUUCGAAUAGGCCCUGGGUUUUGGGCCAGGUUGGUAGACAACAGCAAGUGAUUUCUGGCCACUUUAGCCUCUUCUUUAGAAGAGGUGUUCACUGGAAGUUCCUCGGACAGUGAGUGGAGGAGUUGAGUGGCCAGCUCCAUGAGGUGCAGGAGGCCAUGGACAUCUCAGUGGCCGUCUCCUCCUUGGCUCUUAGCAGCUUGUAAUUCUAUUUGCUUACUCUCUUCCACCAACCUGUGCUGUCCAAUCAGAAUACAACAGUCACUAGCCACAAAUGGCUAUUGAGUGCUUGAAACUUGAGAUGUGCUGUUACGUGUAAAAUGUACAUUGGAUUUUGAAAACUUAGUAUGAAAGGAAGUGUAAAAUAUCUCAUCUGUAUUUUUUAUGUUGAUUGCAUGUUGAAAUGAUAUUUUGGAUAUAUUGAGCUAAAUAAAACAUAUUGUUAAAAUUAAGUUCACCAUUUUUUUUUUAAUGUGGAUACUU